CAGUAGCCGCGGUAAUACGUAGGGUGCAAGCGUUAAUCGGAAUUACUGGGCGUAAAGCGUGCGCAGGCGGUGUUGUAAGACUGAUGUGAAAUCCCCGGGCUCAACCUGGGAACUGCAUUGGUGACUGCAAUGCUGGAGUGCGGCAGAGGGGGAUGGAAUUCCGCGUGUAGCAGUGAAAUGCGUAGAUAUGCGGAGGAACACCGAUGGCGAAGGCAAUCCCCUGGGCCUGCACUGACGCUCAUGCACGAAAGCGUGGGGAGCAAACAGGAUUAGAUACCCCCGUAGUCCCUGUCUCUUAUAC
rnacentral:rRNA from 1 species